CCGGCUUCUUCGAGCGAUUAUGUCUUCAGUCUUUUGCCUUCGCGGAGCCCGGCAAAGUGCUUUUGCAAAAAUACUCCGGAAGGCGUCGUGUGUAAAUGAGCCAGCCAAAGGGAACAUGAACAGGAAGACAAAGUCGCAUAUCAAGACCUGCAACUUGGUCUUUGCCAGGGAUCGCUGCAUGGUUCAGAUGCUUCCUUCCUGACCGAACUCCAAUCCUGACCAAACUCCAAACCCUGGCUGGUUGCUCAGUUUACAGGGGAACUGCUGGCAGUUGUCUUCCUAAAGCCUCCUAUUUCUGAACAAUUAAAACGUCCCAUCGCUUGCUAGUA